CACUGUCACUCCUACGGGGAGGCAGCAGUGGGGGAAUAUUGCACAAUGGGCGCAAGCCUGAUGCAGCCAUGCCGCGUGUGUGAAGAAGGCCUUCGGGUUGUAAAGCACUUUCAGUUGUGAGGAAGGUGGUGUUGUGAAUAGCAGCAUCAUUUGACGUUAGCAACAGAAGAAGCACCGGCUAACUCCGUGCCAGCAGCCGCGGUAAUACGGAGGGUGCGAGCGUUAAUCGGAAUUACUGGGCGUAAAGCGCAUGCAGGUGGUUUGUUAAGUCAGAUGUGAAAGACCCCGGGCUCAACCUGGGAAUUGCAUUUGAAACUGGCAAACUAGAGUACUGUAGAGGGGGGUAGGAAUUUCAGGUGUAGCGGUGAAAUGCGUAGAGAUCUGAAGGAAUACCGGUGGCGAAGGCGGCCCCCUGGACAGAUACUGACACUCAGAUGCGAAAGCGUGGGGAGCAAACAGGAUUAGAUACCCUGGUAG
rnacentral:rRNA from 1 species